CGGAUUAGCGGCGGACGGGUGAGUAACACGUGAGUAACCUGCCUUAGACAUUGGGAUAGCCUCGGGAAACCGGGAUUAAUACCAAAUAAAAUCAUAAUGACACAUGUCAUAACGAUCAAAACUCCGGUGGUCUAAGAUGGACUCGCGUCCCAUUAGCUAGUCGGUAGAGUAAAAGCCUACCAAGGCGACGAUGGGUAGCCGGCCUGAGAGGGUGAACGGCCACAUUGGAACUGAGAAACGGUCCAA
rnacentral:rRNA from 1 species